UGCAUUUUGUCACCAUAUCUCCUUAAUUUCUUCUGAUCUGUGACUAUUCUUCAGUCUUUUCUUGUCACUCAUGACCUGAGUCUUAUGAAGAGUACUGGUCAGAUAUUUUGUAGAAAGCUCCUCAAUUUGAGUUAGUCUGAUAUUUUCUCUUAAUUAGACUUAGGGUAUUGGACUUUGGGGAACAAAACCGUAGAAUUGAUGUGCCCUUUUUAUGAUAGCAAUAUGCAUUAUUGUUACUAGUAAUGUUAACCAUGAUUACUUGGUAAUGGUGCUGGCAGGUUUCUCUGCUGUAAAGUCACUGGUUUUUCAUUUCAAAAUUAUAUUUUUAAAGUGAGUCAUUAAAUCCCACUCAAGUGGGAGAAGAAUUAAACUCUACCUGCUGGAAGGAGAAGCUCCAAAGACUUUGUAAAUUCUGAAAAGGGAUCAACCUUAUUUCUCUCAUUUGAUUUGACUGCAUCAUCACCACGAAGUAAUUGGUUUUCCACACCAAGCAAAUGGGAGAUGAAGUAAAUGUGUCUAGAAGGGUUUCGAAAUUAAAUAAAAUAUUUCUAAAAUUACUGCUAUGAAUGUUGUCCUUCCUGCCUUGACACCCACUUAGAGUUGGACCUCGAUGGAAUCAAGUUACUGCUAGUCUUGGGUGUCAGAAGAGACCUUUAUUACUCCAGGUUGGGUUUGUUAAAACAUGAAGCUGCAUUAUCUCAAAAAAGCAGCAUUUUAAAAAGGUUAUUUAUUAUUGGUCUUUUAUAUGUUCUUCAUAGUAUUGGACUCGACUAAUCAGAGACAUGUUGGCUUUUUAUUCGCAG
rnacentral:lncRNA from 1 species